GAUGAACGCUGGCGGCGUGCCUAAUACAUGCAAGUCGAGCGAACAGAUGAGGAGCUUGCUCCUCUGACGUUAGCGGCGGACGGGUGAGUAACACGUGGAUAACCUACCUAUAAGACUGGGAUAACUUCGGGAAACCGGACCUAAUACCGGAUAAUAUAUUAAACCGCAUGGUUCAAUAUUGAAAGACGGUUUUGCUGUCACUUAUAGAUGGAUCCGCGCCGCAUUAGCUAGUUGGUAAGGUAACGGCUUACCAAGGCAACGAUGCGUAGCCGACCUGAGAGGGUGAUCGGCCACACUGGAACUGAGACACGGUCCAGACUCCUACGGGAGGCAGCAGUAGGGAAUCUUCCGCAAUGGGCGAAAGCCUGACGGAGCAACGCCGCGUGAGUGAUGAAGGUCUUCGGAUCGUAAAACUCUGUUAUUAGGGAAGAACAAAUGUGUAAGUAACUAUGCACGUCUUGACGGUACCUAAUCAGAAAGCCACGGCUAACUACGUG
rnacentral:rRNA from 1 species